UACGGGGGGGGCAAGCGUUGUUCGGAAUUACUGGGCGUAAAGGGCUCGUAGGUGGCCAACUAAGUCAGACGUGAAAUCCCUCGGCUUAACCGGGGAACUGCGUCUGAUACUGGAUGGCUUGAGUUUGGGAGAGGGAUGCGGAAUUCCAGGUGUAGCGGUGAAAUGCGUAGAUAUCUGGAGGAAUACCGGUGGCGAAGGCGGCAUCCUGGACCAACACUGACGCUGAGGCGCGAAAGCUAGGGGAGCAAACGGG
rnacentral:rRNA from 1 species